CUACGUGCCAGCAGCCGCGGUAAUACGGAAGGUCCGGGCGUUAUCCGGAAUUAUUGGGUUUAAAGGGAGCGCAGGCGGGAGUGUAAGUCAGCUGUUAAAUAUCAGGGCCCAACUCUGUUAUGCAGUUGAAACUAUAUUUCUUGAGUACGCACAGGGAUGGCGGAAUUCAGGGUGUAGCGGUGAAAUGCUUAGAUAUCCUGAAGAACUCCGAUCGCGAAGGCAGCCAUCCGGAGCGUAACUGACGCUGAGGCUCGAAGGUGCGGGUAUCGAACAGGAUUAGAUACCCUGGUAGUCCGCACAGUAAACGAUGGAUGCCCGCUGUUGGUACCUGGUAUCAGCGGCUAAGCGAAAGCAUUAAGCAUCCCACCUGGGGAGUACGCCGGCAACGGUGAAACUCAAAGGAAUUGACGGGGGCCCGCACAAGCGGAGGAACAUGUGGUUUAAUUCGAUGAUACGCGAGGAACCUUACCCGGGCUKAA
rnacentral:rRNA from 1 species